rnacentral:rRNA from 1 species
UACGGAGGGUGCAAGCGUUAUCCGGAUUCACUGGGUUUAAAGGGUGCGUAGGCGGGUAGGUAAGUCCGUGGUGAAAUCUCUGAGCUUAACUCAGAAACUGCCGUGGAUACUAUUUGCCUUGAAUAUUGUGGAGGUGAGCGGAAUAUGUCAUGUAGCGGUGAAAUGCUUAGAUAUGACAUAGAACACCAAUUGCGAAGGCAGCUUACUACACAACGAUUGACGCUGAGGCACGAAAGCGUGGGGAUCAAACAGG